GGGGGGCUAGUUAAAUAUAACAUUGUCUUGUCAAGACAAAAUUGCUAGCUAAUUCCUCGCGCCCCC
rnacentral:tRNA from 1 species